UGAAGCACAAAGAAGAGAUGCCAAAUCCAACAAAAUUGAUGGUACAAAUUGGGGAAAACCAUUACUCUAACCCUAAACUCAAAUUCCAUAAAUUACUCACCAAAUGCUGGUUAUUGAACAAUCGCAAGGUGUCUGUGCGGGGUCUUUGUGUUGCUUUGCUCCACAAAUGGAACCUACCACUUCCAACGAAUACGACUUCUCUCCUUCCCCUUUCACUGCUUCGCCCCUUCACUGUUUCGGAAUCCACACCUUUGC
rnacentral:lncRNA from 1 species